AUGCACUCUGCUUACUGCUGCUCUCAUUCAGCCUACAACGCACAAAAUGUCAAAGUAUGGACUCGGAGUCCAUUGAAAGUUGUGAAAAAGCCUGGAGAAACUCUGACUCUGUCCUGUAUAGGAUCUGGGUCCAGCUUUGGCUGCUGUAGCAUGCACUGGACCAGACAACAAGCUGGAAAACCACUUGUGAGGUUGGGACGUGUUCAUAGUCAUGGCAAUAGCCAUGACUUCUCAGACUCUUUCAGCAGACGAAUUGAAAUCACCAGAGAUAAUUCAAAGGGUAUGGUGUAUCUGAAACUAGGCCUGACUGCAGAAGACUCAGCCGUAUAUUAUUGUGCAAGAGACUCAUUGUGA